rnacentral:rRNA from 1 species
UACGUAGGGGGCGAGCGUUGUCCGGAUUUAUUGGGCGUAAAGAGCUCGUAGGCGGUUCGAUAAGUCGGACGUGAAAUCUCCACGCUCAACGUGGAGGGGCCGUUCGAUACUGUCGUGACUCGAGUCCGGUAGGGGAGUGUGGAAUUCCCGGUGUAGCGGUGAAAUGCGCAGAUAUCAGGAGGAACACCGAUGGCGAAGGCAGGUCUCUGGGCAUUAACUGACGCUGAGGAGCGAAAGCAUGGGGAGCGAACAGG